ACGACUCUCGGCAACGGAUAUCUCGGCUCUCACAUCGAUGAAGAACGUAGCGAAAUGCGAUACCUGGUGUGAAUUGCAGAAUCCCGCGAACCAUCGAGUCUUUGAACGCAAGUUGCGCCCGAGGCCACUCGGCCGAGGGCACGCCUGCCUGGGCGUCACGC
rnacentral:rRNA from 1 species